CUCAAACUCUGAGCUCUUGAAUCAAAAUUAUAUGGUCUGGUAAGGAGAUGUCCAGUGUGUUAUCUAAAGAUGUUAAUUUAUAGUUUGUAAUGGACCAAAGGGCAGAUGAACAGUGUUCAUAUGUUCCGUGCACAUCCCAACCAGCAGGUGGCGCUGAUUAUUAACAAGCUAAAGCAGAAUGAACGCAGAUAAAACGACAGACGAGAAAUAUACUUGUUAUGGAUGUGGAAAUAAGAGAUGGCUAGACCCUUCAGUCACAAUUUAUCAACGCACAAUGUCUAAACUGCAGAUUUUAAGUGUUUUUCUGACAGAGAGAUUAACAUUAGCUGCGCAGGAAAUAUUUAAGGCUGUGGAAGACAUAUUUUCAGAGUAUAAUGAGGAGAUUUGUCGCUCCAGACAGGAGAUUGAGCUGCUCAAGAGGAGACUGCAGCAGGCAGGAGUUCAGCUGGACUCUGGUUAGUCAGUUCACCCUAAAUCUCAUUCUCAUGCUUAUUAUUGUCAUGUUAUGGUUUUCCAUAAUAACACGAAUAAUUAAGACUUAAAUGCUCUCACCCCAGCCCUUUAAAAAGUUUAUAGUGUUAAUAUUAGAUUAUUGAUAUGUUUAGGUCAUGCCAAAAGAGGCAAGGAAGAACAACACUUUGCCAUUUUUUAUUAUGCAGCACUCUUUGUUAUUCACAUAACAGUUUUAGUAAUUUUCUUUUGUCAUAUAUACACACCUGACAUCCACCACUUACGGUAAUAAUCUUUAAGAACUGAAUGUUUAUGUUUAUUUAUUAUGUUUAUUCAUGUAGUGAAGCAGCUUUGCUCCACUGAGACUCAAGGACAGAAAUACACCCAGACAUUUUCAGAGGAAUGGAGAUCUGAACACGACUUGAAGGAUAAAGCAAUGCAUAUGAUCCUAGAUAUUUGUACAAAGGAGGAGGAGAAUGAAGAGGACAUGCCUGUGUGCGGUGAAUCAGCAUCUUUAUCACCAUGUAUGGACAUUUAUCAUGAUCAGACGCCCAGCAAAGACACUGAAACCCAAGUGAUGGACAGUUGUAGUGAGAAUCAUUUUCACUUUAUUGACCAAGCGGCUCGAAUUAAGAAUGAGCCUGAGACUAAUACUGAAACAGGUACCACCUGUCAAAUACAGCAGAACAUCACAAAACAAGAUUUGGAUGAUUCAGGGGCCAGUGAUGCUUCCAGUGACGUCAACAAAGUCAAAGUUAGCCACGGUGGCUCCCCCAGACAUGAGACACAAACAUUUAUUCUGCCCCUUAGAAAUCAAGAGAUGCUGACGAAGCAUCGGAUGGAGCUGGCCCAGAUAAGAGCAAGAUUGGCAGAUGAAGAGCAAAAGAAGGCUGCAGCAAAAGCUAGAUCCCUAAAGCACAAGCAGAAAGUAUACAGGAAUCCUGAGCUUCGUGAGGCAUACAGGAAAAAGGAGAGAGAGAGGUAUACUGCAGCUUACAUGAGGAAUCCUGACUGUAGGUUAGGUACAUAUGCAUUGUAUUAA
ensembl:lncRNA